GGCAUAGCUCAGUGGUAGAGCACCUGCCUCACAUGCAGGAGGUCUAAGGUUCAAUCCCUGGCAUCUCCA